AUUGAACGCUGGCGGCAGGCCUAACACAUGCAAGACGAACGAGUGGCGGAUGGGUGAGUCCUGUCUGGGAAACUGCCUGAUGGAGGGGCAUAACUACCAGAAACGGUAGCUAAUACCGCAUACCAUCAGAUGUGCCCAGAUGGAAUUAGCUAGUGGGUGGGGUAACGGCUCACCAAGGCGACGAUCCCUAGCUGGUCUGAGAGGAUGACUAGCCACACUGGAACUGAGAAACGGACCAGAGUCCUAGGUGACGCCGCAGGUGGGAAUAUGGCACAGUGGUCGAAAACCGGAUGCAGCCAUGCCGCGUGUAUGAAGAGGGCCAUCGGGUUGUAAAGUACUUACAGCGGGGAGGCGUUACCCGCAUAAGAAGCACCGGCUAACGCCGUGCCAGCAGCCGCGGUAAUAC
rnacentral:rRNA from 1 species